rnacentral:rRNA from 1 species
AACGAACGCUGGCGGCAUGCCUAACACAUGCAAGUCGAACGAAGGCUUCGGCCUUAGUGGCGCACGGGUGCGUAACGCGUGGGAAUCUGCCCUUUGGUUCGGAAUAACAGCUGGAAACGGCUGCUAAUACCGGAUGAUGACGAAAGUCCAAAGAUUUAUCGCCAGAGGAUGAGCCCGCGUUGGAUUAGGUAGUUGGUGGGGUAAAGGCCUACCAUGCCGACGAUCCAUAGCUGGUCUGAGAGGAUGAUCAGCCACACUGGGACUGAGACACGGCCCAGACUCCUACGGGAGGCAGCAGUGGGGAAUAUUGGACAAUGGGCGCAAGCCUGAUCCAGCAAUGCCGCGUGAGUGAUGAAGGCCCUAGGGUUGUAAAGCUCUUUUACCCGGGAAGAUAAUGACUGUACCGGGAGAAUAAGCCCCGGCUAACUCCGUG